rnacentral:tRNA from 1 species
GGUUGUAUAGUGUAGUGGUUAUCACUGUCGGUUUUGACUUCCGACCAACCCCGGUUCGAAUCCGGGUACGACCU